GGUAACACGUAUCCAACCUGCCGUCUACUCUUGGACAGCCUUCUGAAAGGAAGAUUAAUACAAGAUGGCAUCAUGAGUCCGCAUGUUCACAUGAUUAAAGGUAUUCCGGUAGACGAUGGGGAUGCGUUCCAUUAGAUAGUAGGCGGGGUAACGGCCCACCUAGUCUUCGAUGGAUAGGGGUUCUGAGAGGAAGGUCCCCCACAUUGGAACUGAGACACGGUCCAA
rnacentral:rRNA from 1 species